rnacentral:rRNA from 1 species
UACAGAGGUCCCAAGCGUUGUUCGGAUUCAUUGGGCGUAAAGGGUGCGUAGGCGGCGCGGUAAGUCGGGUGUGAAAUCUCGGAGCUUAACUCCGAAACUGCAUUCGAUACUGCCGUGCUUGAGGACUGGAGAGGAGACUGGAAUUCUCGGUGUAGCAGUGAAAUGCGUAGAGAUCGAGAGGAACACUCGUGGCGAAAGCGAGUCACUGGACAGUAUCUGACGCUGAUGCACGAAGGCUAGGGGAGCGAAAGGG